rnacentral:rRNA from 1 species
UCUGGUUGAUCCUGCCAGACCCGACUGCUAUCAGAGUGGGACUAAGCCAUGCGAGUCAACGUAGAAAUACGUGGCAAACGUCUCAGUAACACGUAGUCAACAUGCCCAGGGGACGUGGAUAACCUCGGGAAACUGAGGAUAAACCGCGAUAGGCCAUGAUUUCUGGAAUGGUUCAUGGCCGAAAUCUAUAUGGCCCCUGGAUUGGACUGCGACCGACCAGGCUGUUGGUGAGGUAAUGGCCCACCAAACCUGUAACCGGUACGGGCUCUGAGAGGAGGAGCCCGGAGAUGGGCACUGAGACAAGGGCCCAGGCCCUAUGGGGCGCAGCAGGCGCGAAAUCUCUGCAAUAGGCGAAAGCUUGACAGGGUUACUCUGAGUGAUUCCCGCUAAGGGGAUCUUUUGGCACCUUUAAAAAUGGUGCAGAAUAAGGGGUGGGCAAGUCUGGUGUCAGCCGCCGCGGUAAUACCAGCACCCCGAGUGGUCGGGACGAUUAUUGGGCCUAAAGCAUCCGUAGCCGGUACUGCAAGUCUUCCGUUAAAUCCACCUGCUUAACAGUUGGGCUGCGGGGGAUACUACAGCGCUAGGAGGCGGGAGAGGCAAGCGGUACUCAAUGGGUAGGGGUAAAAUCCGCUGAUCCAUUGAAGACCACCAGUGGCGAAGGCGGCUUGCCAGAACGCGCUCGACGGUGAGGGAUGAAAGCUGGGGGAGCAAACCGGAUUAGAUACCCGGGUAGUCCC